UAGGGAAUCUUCGGCAAUGGACGAAAGUCUGACCGAGCAACGCCGCGUGAGUGAAGAAGGUUUUCCGAUCGUAAAACUCUGUUGUUAGAGAAGAACAAGGACGUUAGUAACUGAACGUCCCCUGACGGUAUCUAACCAGAAAGCCACGGCUAACUACGUGCCAGCAGCCGCGGUAAUACGUAGGUGGCAAGCGUUGUCCGGAUUUAUUGGGCGUAAAGCGAGCGCAGGCGGUUUCUUAAGUCUGAUGUGAAAGCCCCCGGCUCAACCGGGGAGGGUCAUUGGAAACUGGGAGACUUGAGUGCAGAAGAGGAGAGUGGAAUUCCAUGUGUAGCGGUGAAAUGCGUAGAUAUAUGGAGGAACACCAGUGGCGAAGGCGGCUCUCUGGUCUGUAACUGACGCUGAGGCUCGAAAGCGUGGGGAGCAAACAGG
rnacentral:rRNA from 1 species